GCAAGUCGAGCGGUAGCUCCGAGGAACUUGUUUCUUGGGUGACGAACGCCGGACGGGUGAGUAACCCGUAGGAAUCUACCUCGUAGAAGGGGACAACAUGUGAAACACAUGCUAAUACCGCAUACGCGCUUAGGGUGAAAGGAGGUGACUUGGCGAAGCCUUCCGCUAUUAGAUUAGCCUGCGUGAGAUUAGCUAGUUGGUAGGGUAAAGGCCUACCAAGGCUACGAUCUCUAACUGGUCUGAGAGGAUGACC
rnacentral:rRNA from 1 species